CGCCCGUUUGACGCGAAACGGCCGAAACCAAUUCCGCGAUCGAGACCUGGAAGAGCGACCAGUAGAGGUCCUACUACAAGUGUUGCUGCAACAGGGGUGGCUCCGGAUACAAGUGCCGACAUGACCGAGGAAGCAACAAUCACAGAUUGCCAGAGUCCUGGAGCUGAAUGUGAGGCCGAUGCCGAC